rnacentral:rRNA from 1 species
CACGUAGGGGGCGAGCGUUGUCCGGAUUUAUUGGGCGUAAAGAGCUCGUAGGCGGCUCAGUAAGUCGGGUGUGAAAACUCCAGGCUCAACCUGGAGACGCCACCUGAUACUGCUGUGGCUAGAGUCCGGUAGGGGAGCAUGGAAUUCCUGGUGUAGCGGUGAAAUGCGCAGAUAUCAGGAGGAACACCGAUGGCGAAGGCAGCUCGCUGGGACGGUACUGACGCUGAGGCGCGAAAGCGUGGGGAGCAAACAGG